ACAGAGGUCCCGAGCGUUGUUCGGAAUCACUGGGCGUAAAGGGCGUGUAGGCGGUUUGGUAAGUGGGAUGUGAAAUGCCUCGGCUCACCCGAGGACCGGCAUCCCAAACUGCCAAGCUCGAGCACGGUAGAGGCAGAUGGAAUUCCCGGUGUAGCGGUGGAAUGCGUAGAGAUCGGGAAGAACACCAGUGGCGAAGGCGUUCUGCUGGGCCGUUGCUGACACUGAGGCGCGACAGCGUGGGGAGCAAACAGGA
rnacentral:rRNA from 1 species